CUCUUGCCCUGUGCUCCCCUCCUGAACCUCUCCAGUCCCUGUGGGUUCCUUCUUUUGUAUGUCUCCUUGAGCCAACUGCCUACUCUGGGCUUGGACUGUACACAAUGUUAAUGAGAAUGAGGAUGUUUUUUGCUUUUUUUUUUUUUUUUUUCCCUGAAAGGAAAUAAAAGGAUGUUCUCUCAUGAGGAAUGACUCCAAAUUGUGCCUUGCUCGUGCCUGAGCUCAAAACUCUGUGAAUGUGCUUGAAAGGCAAGCACAGAGCUCUGCUUGAUCUUCAUCUUCAAGCAGGACUCUGCAAAGCCUGUGUGGGAACUGUGGGCAACGGUAAGGCUGAUGGCUGACAUUACUGUCCUGCGUAUUUCACCUCAGGUUUGACUCCUCUCCUACCUUCUCCCACUGCGUCCAGCACCUGCAGUAACAUCUCCCACCAAUGCCACAAGUGACUGGUUUGCUCAGUGCACACAAAGAGAAAACCAAAGUUGUUUUUGUGGAGGCAGCUCUUCUAGGGCUCACCCCAGGCUGUGAUGGUUGGAUCUGGAGACUCUACGGCCCUGUUUCUUGUCUGGGUGCCAUACACUUUGGCUAAUUUAUGUACCGAGCGUAAGGAAUAUUGUGAAAUAUUAAGGUCCAGUGUCUUUCUUUGUCAAAAACAAGAGGAGAUCAAAGAGGAACAUUGGACUAACGCUUGAAGCCAAUGGUCACCUAAGAAGUAAGGAUAAAGAAAAGGCAGAGGUAUUUAAUGUUUUUUUGCCUCAGUCUCUAGCAGUGAUGACAGAUCUUGUCUUACGUAGACCUCAGAGCUGGAGGACUAUGACUGUGGGAGCAACAACGUACCAUCUGUGGUCACCAAAAUUGUAAAGGACUACUUGUGUCAGCUGAAUGUUCUUAAGUCCACGGGGUCUAAUGGGAUUCACUCCUGGUACUGAAGGAGUUAGCAGAUACUACAGCUGGACCACUCAAAAUAAUUUAGCAAAUGUCUUGGGUGUCUGGGGAGGUUCCCACUGCUUGGAAGGUAGCCAGUGUUAUGCACACCUACAGAACAGAGUAUGAGAGAAGACACUGGAAGCUACAGACUAUUAUUUCAAUCUCAGUCUAUGGAAAAGUUAUGGAGAAGAUAAUCUGAGAGGUUAUUGAAAGGCAAUAAAAAACUAAGGCUGUUACCAGGUAUAGUCACCAUGGCUUCAUGAAGGGUUUAUGCUUUUGUAAUUUGAUUUUUUUCCACCAUAAAGUUACCCACUUAGAGGAUGAAGGGUCAUUUCUGCAAAGGAGACCCACUGAUUCUGAAAACAAUGGACUUCAAAUCAUGUAGCUAUGGAAAAGUACGGCAGUGCCAACCCUGGUUCCAAGAUCUUUCAUCUCUUGCUAACAAACUCUUCAAAUGUGCUACUUUAAACCCAGCUUUGGUGUCAGUCUGAGCAUCAGACGAGCAUGAAGAAGGCUGAAGAACUCAGCAAGUUCAUUGCCUCUGUCUUCACUUGCAGUCAGGCUUCCAACAACUCUCAUGUUCCUGAACUUCUAGGUAGGGUUGUGGGAGAGCACAAUCCCUCCCACUGUAAGAGCAGAACAAGUUCAAGACCACCUGAUGAGAUUGAACAUGUACAAGUCUAUGGAGUCCAUUGACAUGCAUCCCACAGUCCUGAAGAAACUGGCUGAUGCAGUUGCCAAGCUAUUUUCCAUCACACGUGAAAAGUCAUGGCUGUCAGGUGAAGUCCCCAGAAACUGGAAAAAAGGAAAUGUCACUCCCAUUCAUAAGAAAGGGAGAAAGGAAGACCAAGGAAACUACAGGUCAGUGAGCCUCAGCUCUGUGCCUGGGAAGAUCAUGGAGGAGAUCCUCCUGGAAGGGAUGUCAAAGCACAUGCAAAAUCAGGAGGUGAUCCAAGACAACCAGCACAGCUUCGUGGUCCUCCGUGAUGGAAUGACGGCUUCAGUAGACAAAAGAAGAGUAACUGAUAUCAUCUACUUGAAAUACUUGAAAUUAUACUCAUUAAAUGAGAUGUCAGUGCAGCUUGAUAGGAAGUGUGGAAGUAGAUUAAUGAGUACUUUCAAAGAUUAAUAAUUAUUUUCCAUGUAUGAGAUAUAAUAAAGUAAAACAGAUGGUAGUUUGCAGUACAUAAUGUAAAGCAUAUUUACUUCCUGAGUGGUUCAUGUGUAGCUUUAAUAAGAGAGAAUUCUAUUUUUUGUUUUAAUGUCUUUCUGAGAGAACUUGCAUCACUUACAUACUCUAAUGCUGAGUGCCAAAGCACAAAGAUUCAC
ensembl:lncRNA